CACCCGGUCGCACAUGGCGUGCAUCUGCUUACAAUAAGAGUCUGGGGAAGAUUAUGCAGAAGACCCCCGUUCGAUUCGGGGCUGGGUGA